rnacentral:rRNA from 1 species
AUUUGACGGUACCUAACGAGGAAGCCACGGCUAACUACGUGCCAGCAGCCGCGGUAAUACGUAGGCGGCAAGCGUUGUCCGGAAUUAUUGGGCGUAAAGGGAGCGCAGGCGGGAAACUAAGCGGAUCUUAAAAGUGCGGGGCUCAACCCCGUGAUGGGGUCCGAACUGGUUUUCUUGAGUGCAGGAGAGGAAAGCGGAAUUCCCAGUGUAGCGGUGAAAUGCGUAGAUAUUGGGAAGAACACCAGUGGCGAAGGCGGCUUUCUGGACUGUAACUGACGCUGAGGCGAAAGCUAGGGUAGCGAACGGGAUUAGAUACCCCGGUAGUCCUAGCCGUAAACGAUGGAUACUAGGUGUGGGAGGUAUCGACCCCUUCCGUGCCGGAGUUAACGCAAUAAGUAUCCCGCCUGGGGAGUACGGCCGCAAGGUUGAAACUCAAAGGAAUUGACGGG